UUCCAAGCGACAGGGACGGGGUUUCACUGUGUUGGCCAGGAUGGUCUCGAUCUCUUGACCGUGUGAUCUGCCUGCUUCGGCCUCCCAAAGUGCUGGUAUUACAGGCGUGAGCCACUGCGCCCAGUCAAAGAUGUUCUCUUUUAAGAUUACUUUUUAAAAAGACUCACACGGUACCUUCCCACAAGAAGACAUGGAGACUAUGUGACGUAGCCUGUGGGUCCCUGGACACCGGGACUAGAGGACCCUUCCCAAGAGCAGACCGCAGGCAAGAUACCAUUCAUUGGCCUCGCUGCCUGUGCCCGCGGAUUCCGCACGUGGCCACACCUCUUCUAUACAAGGCAAGGUGGCGGUGAGUAGGAAAACAUGCAGUCCUGACCUGGGCAGCUGGCAUAUGGGGGUUUCUGCCCCCAAGGCGCUUCUAGCACAAAACCUAGUGCUAGGUCUCAACCUCAGUAGCAAAGAGGGAGUCCCCAGAAGGUGCCAUGAGGGUGGGCCCUGAAAAACAGCUGAGUGGGGUCGCCAGAUUUUGGGGGUGGAGUGACAGGAAGACUGGUAAAUUUGAACUUCUCUGCUUGGAACAUAAGAAAUACUCUCCAUGACACAGGUGUCUGCACAAAAUCAGGCAUCUCUUGUCCCUGGAAAGUUAUAUCCCCAAGAUAGAGCUGGCUGGCUCCCAGAACUAGGGUGAGCAAAGCCCCCACAGCAAGGAGCUCUGUUCUGAUUUUGGCUUCCUGGGUGGCCCUGGAGAUCCUGCAGCCCGGUGGUUAUGGAGUGGCCUGGUGCUCCUCCUCAUCAGAGAUCCAGGCUAGCCUCCAGGGAGAUAAAUGAGAAGCACAAGCAUUUUCCCCAUAUGACCUAACUUAAAGGAUUUGAAAUGCGGUGAAAACAGAAGCCACAACAGAAAUCCCAGAAGCAUAAAAGACGAAGCGUCCAGUCUCUCCUGACCCACUAUGGCCUGCCCAAGUCCUGUGGCUCAUCAGCUGCACACUGUCACCCAGGCCACCGGUGUAUGCCCGUCUCCCUGAGCCUGAGCUGGCCAGAGGGAAGCUGGGCUCAAAAGACCUGAAGGAAAAACUGGAAACAGACAAAGGACUUCAAGGACCCACUGGAAACAGCCCGCACUUCCUGUAGAACUAGAGAAUUUCUCUCCUUCUUUAAUCUUAGUGGACUCCAGAGAAAGUGGAUAGAAAUAGGCAUGAUAUAAAAUAUCACAUCAAAUCCACUCACCUCUUGCAUUCCUCUGUGAAGGUGGUUGCCAAGAAGGGGAAGUUAGAAACCAGGCCUGGAGCCACAUUGCUGGCCAGGAAUCCCAGCUAAGUCCCUUAUUAGCUAUGCAACUUGAGCAAGGAGUUCUCCAGCUCGUGACCUCCAUUUUCUUAUCUGUAAAAUGGGAAUGAAAAUAACAUGACCGUGGGCCACACAGGGACGUUAUAAGAAGAAAUGAGUGAAUACAUAUGUAGCCUUUAGAACAGCAAUAGACAUGCAAUAAGCAAUCAAAACGUUAGCUAUUCUUAAUAGCUCAAAGGACUUGAAGGCACUCUUUUAUAUAUGUAUUUAUUGAUUUUUCCAGAAGAUGAAAAUAGAUCAUUUGUCUCUAAUCACAUGCAGUGCCAAAAGCCACCAGGUUUCUUGGGGUUUGUGUCACUGAAUCCACAUAACCCAAUGUGCUUUCUGACCAUCCUCAUUCCUGCUCAUGGUUCCUGAGGCUCCCGAGCAUCCCCUUAGUUACCAGACAUAAAUUCAAUUAUCCUCACCAAAUGCCAGGAAAAGAGGAUUGCAUUUCACCAACCAGGAAUGUCAGAAAAAGUUCAUUCUCUCACUAGGAUUUUCUUCCCUUUGGCUAUAUUAAGACACUGAGUUUUACUUAGAAAGCACUAAAGGUGAAGAUAUGGUCACAGGAUGCUGUCAGUUCUAUUGACACGACCCAGCAAAAAUAAUAAUAAUAAUAAUAAAAAUGCUUGAAAUGCAAUACACAUAUGUGGACACAGAAAUGCUAAGAUGUGUUUCAGAACAUGCAGUCUCUCCAUGUUCAGAAUUAACACCCUCAGUACAUGCUUCUGUGCUUCUUUACCAGUGCCUACAUCCAUGCCAUCCUGUUGUUAUCCAUGGAUGAACAACUCAGAAUUUGGAGAAAUGGAUUUGGGGAAAUCUCUGAGACACAUUUUGAAACCAGCGAGGAAUUAGGCUGCAAGCGGCAGCAGCAGUAACAGUGACAGCAGCAAGAAACAGCCACCUGCAUCUCAAGAGUGGCACAGGGCUUCCACUGGCUGAGGCGGACACAUGGCGGAUGUGUAAGAAGCGUGCAGAAAGUGGUCAGUCGUGUGUGCACACACGAAUACAUGCUCAGUGUCAGGCCAAGGCCCUGUGGGCCUAAGGAAAACAAUGUCACGUUUCAACAUGAUUUGGGAAACCCUACUCUCCACUGAAAUCUCAUAUUGGCAGCAGAAAACUCUGCCGAUGCCUCAGAAGCCAAAGAUAACUAAAUUGUGUUUCUUUUAGUUCUUGCAUAGGGGCAAGCCCACUUCACAUUUCAUGAUACACCAACUCCUAGAGAGCUCCUUUGGGGCCCUAUUUAAUUUACUUAACUUUUGUUGGCAAUGGAAAGUGGGCCUGCCACAUUUGAUGACUAGAGCAGGUCCAUCCCAGUCACCUGCCUUCCCAAAAGUGCAUUGGAGAGUGGAACAGAAACCACAACCCACUGUCUCGGACAGGCGUCAGCAUUGUAAAAUACACUCUGGCACCCAGCCCUGGCAGAAUAGUGGUCUACAGAGGCAAAACUUCAGAUUUUUACUAUACCCAAGGCAUAAUGAACUUUAUCGAGGGUAAAUAUUGCCCAGCCUUCUUUCAUGUAGGAACCAAGAAAACUAGACCCAACAGUUUUGCCUUUCCUUCCUUCUCUGUACAUGUUCUUCCUAGUUGUACUGGAUUUUGCUAAUAUCAUAAGCACAGCUGUGAUACAGCCAGGUCUUUAUGCAUGGAUUUUACUCUUUGAGCAGCUUGAAGACAAUUCUGUCUCGCUCUCUCUGGGUUCUCACGAGCACAGAGCUGUAACCAUAAUAAGCUCUCAAUAAAGGUUGAAUAGAGGCCACAGAGAUCUUCAGGCCAGAAGUCAGAGGUCAUUCCUUGAGGACGUGUUAGUGACAGUGUCCUGUACAGUGGCUAGGCAGAGAAAGACUGCUGAGAACAGACAGACCUGGCUUUCAUUAGUUAAGAGAUGGACAGAGGAAGGAGCUCCAUCCACUCACAAAGACAGUGGCCUCCAUAUCCCGAGAGGGGAGUCAGGAGCAUGACAUGUUCUACACAACUACAGUCUUCAUCAUAAUCCCAAAGGCAGCCAUAACCAUGGGUAAUUGGGAUAAUAUUUAGAAAAUAUUUGCAUGCCAAAACUGACAUUUUUAGAGGCCAUGGAGAAACAGGUUUCCAAUGUCAAGUUUUGUUGAAAGAGGACACACAUUAUUCUAGAUUCUGAAAGUUCCCUUCAUCUUCAAAGAGCUAGGCCUUGCCAGUGUGACUGUGGAGCUUGCUAUAAGCCUGAAUAAAGAGAAGACAGAGGACAUCAAGUUAGGGAAACCCCACCCAACAGGAAGGAGACACUCUUCUGGCCAAGAGGCAAGUUGGGGAGGGAGGGAUGCAGAGAGAAGAGAAGAUGAGAGAAGUUAAGGCUGAGCUAGUAUCUGAGAAUACCUCACAUGUGCCCCACAGCCUGCCUCUUCCUCUGCUACACUGUGGCCAGAAAGGGGUCUCAGUGUUCUACGUGCCCCCAGAGGGUGUAGCUGCGAGCCAGACUGCUGAGAGGUCACCUUUGCAGAGCCUAGAGACAGAUGACAGACAAAGCUGAGAUUUAGAGAUCUUUGGGGCCAGGAAGAUCUGAGCAGUGGAGGUCCCAAAGCACCAGCAGAGACAGCUAGACCUAGUGGCCCCAGAAUUGGAUGCUCAAAGACAUGAUCAGGCCAGGCCCAGCUCAAUCAGCACCUGCUAUGUCUCAAAGGCAGGAUGAGUUCAGAGGCACCACUCCACACUGUGAGAAUCCAUAAUUGUUUCCCUCUUCCAGCUGCCAACCUGGGACAUAGAGAGUGAAGAGACAUCCUUUGAGAAGGAAAUCUUAAUUUUUAUUUAACUGUGUAUUUACCCAAAAGAAAGUGAGUUAGACCAAAAGAGUCUAAGUUGCUUUCAAUGGGCAAGUUUAAGGUUCUCCCUCCUUCCUCUGCCAUCAACAGGAAAUGAUGAGAUCCAUAUAGAGAAUAUUUAAAAGGAAAUAAAUUAUCAUUUUCUGCCCCUCUGAGUUGCAGGGUGUAAAUUCUUCCUCUGCUAGAAGCGUGUGCAAUGUGGGAAGCCCAGCACACAGAAAGAGCUUAAUUCAUGCUGCUGAUUUAAUAGAUUUUUUUUCAUGGAUGUGCCAGAAAGCCCCAUUCAUGUAAACACUACAAUUGCAAAAGUUUAUGCCAGACAGAAGCCUGCAUUUGUUGGGGAUUAAAAGAAAGGGCACUUGACUUUGUAGCCCAAAGACCCAGGUUUUCCAGGUGCAGUCCUGGCAUUGAGUUGUCAUGUCAUCCCAGGCAAAUCAUGGACUUGUUCUGGGCCUCUGUUUCUUUCUUCAACAUGAAGGAAUUUGUUAAAGAAAUUUCUAAAAUUCUUCUGUUAAUGAGUAAUGACGAUAAUAUCAGUAGUCACAAGCAUUUACUGAGCACUGACUAGCUGCCAACCACUGUGUUGUUUGCUUUGUUUAUAUAACCCCAUUCACUUUUAAAAUCAUCUUAUGAGGGAAAGAAACCAUUAUCACCCACAUAAGGUAUGACUGCUUAUAUAGAAAAUGCCCAAAAUCCAUAAACAAAUGAUUAAGAACAAUUAAAUUUAGUGAAGAUAUAAAAUUUACAUACAUCAAACAGCUAGAAAGUUUAAUUAAAAGACAAUAUUUUUUUUUUUUAAUUCUGAGAUAGAGUCUCACUCUGUCACCCAGGCUGGAGUGCAGUGGCGCUAUCUCAGCUCACUGCAACCUCCUCUGCCUUCCGGGUUCAAGCAAUUCUCGUGCCUCAGCCCCCUGAGUAGCUAGGAUUACAGGUGUAAACCACCACACAUGGCUAAUUUUUGUAUUUUUUUUUUUUUUUUAGUAGGGACGGGGUUUCACCAUGUUGGCCAGGCUGGUCUAGAACUCCUGAUCUCAAGUGAUCCGCCCACCUCAGCCUCCCAAGGUGCUGGGAUUACAGGCAUGAGCCACUGUGCCCAGGCUAAAAGACAAUAUUCUUUACAACAGCAUCAGAAAACAUCAGGUAUCUAGUGGGGCACAGUGGCAUGUGCCUAUAGUCCCAGCUACUCAGGAGGGUGAGGUAGGAGGAUCACUUGGACCUAGGAGUUCGAAGCUGUGGUGAGCUAUGAUCGUACCACUGCACUCCAGCCCGGAUGACAAAAUAAGACCCUUCCUCAAAAAAAAAAAAAAAAAUUAAAAUAUCAAGUCUCCUAGAAUAAACCUAACAAUGGACACAUUUUCAAGACCUCUAGAAGGAAAAGUGUAAAACUUUAAGAGAUAUUAAAAAGGGCUAAGUAAUUGGAGAGAGAUAUUGUGUUCAUGGAUUAUAUAAUUUAAUAGUGUAAUUUGAUCUAUAUAUUCAGUGCAAUUCUUGUCAAAUUCCUAAUAAUUUUUUUAAAAAUAGAACCUGAAAAAAUGAUUCUAAACUUAUGUGAAAGCAUAAAAGACCAAAAAUAGGAUGUUUCUGAAAAGGUAGUGAUCAGGGGUUUCCCUUAUUGAUGUCUGGACUUUUAUGAGGCUGGAGCAAUUAAAACCCUGUAGUUUUGGUGCAGAGACAGAAAAACAGACCAUGGGGUAUGAAUAAGAUCCCAGAAAAAGAUGGAUGCAAAUAAAGAAUGUUGGUUUAUUACAGAGGAUACAGGAGGUCAGUGAGGAGAGGAGGCUGAUAAACAAAUGGAGGUGGAAAAAAGUAGUUAUUCAUAUGGGAAAAAAUGAACUUGAAUAUCUCUCUCAAACUAUAUCCGAAAAAUAACCCUAGAUAGAUUCAGGAAUUAAAUGUCAAAAAAGAAACUUUAUAAUUUAUAGUAAAAUACAGGUAACUAUUUUAUACCUUGGAGUAGUGAUAUGGUUUGGCUCUGUGUCCCCACCCAAAUCUCAUUUUGAAUUGUAAUUCCAAAUGUUGGAGGUGAGGCCUGGUGGGAGGUGCUUGGAUCAUAGAGGUGGUUUCUAGUGGUUUGGCACCAUCCCCCUAGUUCUGUAUUUAAAGUGUGUAGUACCAUCCCCUUCUCUCUCUGUCCUACUGGCCAUAUGCAGAUAUUCCUGCUUCCCCUUCACCUUCCACCAUAAUUGUGUUUCCUGAGGCCUUCCCAACCAUGUUUCCUGUACAGCCUGCAGAACUGUGAGUCAUUUAACCUCUUUUCUUUAUAAAUUACCCAUUCUCAGGGAGUUCUUUAUAGCAAUGCAAGAAUGGACUAAUACACGCAGCUAAAGUUUUUCUUAAGCACUUAAAUUGUUGACUAUAAAAUGAUAAAUUUAACUAUGUCAAAAUAAAGAACAUUUGUUCACCAAGAGAUACCUUUAAAAAGUAAAAAGACAAAGUAAAAACUGGGACAAGAUAUUCAUAAUAUCAACCACAAAGGUUUAGUACCAAGAAUAUAUGUAGAACUGCUACAAAUCAAUUUUGUUAACAAAGCACAAAUAACCAGUAUAAUAAUGGGGAAAAAAAGCACCAAUGGCAUUUCACAGAAGAGGAAACAUAUAUGCCCAAUAAACUUAUGAAAAGAUUCAAAAAGAAAAGUGAAAAAAAUUAUGAAUACCUAGUAUAUGAUAGCACAAAAGGGUGACUAUAGUCAAAAUAAUUUAACUGUACAUUUAAAAAUACCUAAAAGAGUAUAAUUGGAUUGUUUAUAACACAAAACAUAAAUGCUUGAGGGGAUGGAUACCCCAUUUCCCAUGAUGUGAUUAUUAUGCAUUGUGUGCCUAUAUCAAAACAUCUCAUGUACCCCAUAAAUAUAUGUACCUAUUAUGUACCCACAAAAACUAAAAAUAAAAAAAUUUGUUAAAGAAAAAAAGUGAAAAUUAAAAUCACAAUGAAAUAACAUGUUAUACUCAUUCAAUUAGCAAAAAGUAAAAAGCCUAACACAAUUAAGUGCUGGAGAGGAUGAAGCCUGUGGCAUUGUAGAUUAGCACAGAGUCUUUAGAGAAUGUUUUGGCAUUGUCUCCUAAAGUUGAACUUUCACAUGUUCUCUGACAUGAUUCUCCUUGAAGGUCCAUACC
rnacentral:lncRNA from 1 species